rnacentral:rRNA from 1 species
GAUGAACGCUGGCGGCGUGCCUAAUACAUGCAAGUCGAGCGAACGGACGAGAAGCUUGCUUCUCUGAUGUUAGCGGCGGACGGGUGAGUAACACGUGGAUAACCUACCUAUAAGACUGGGAUAACUUCGGGAAACCGGAGCUAAUACCGGAUAAUAUUUUGAACCGCAUGGUUCAAAAGUGAAAGACGGUCUUGCUGUCACUUAUAGAUGGAUCCGCGCUGCAUUAGCUAGUUGGUAAGGUAACGGCUUACCAAGGCAACGAUGCAUAGCCGACCUGAGAGGGUGAUCGGCCACACUGGAACUGAGACACGGUCCAGACUCCUACGGGAGGCAGCAGUAGGGAAUCUUCCGCAAUGGGCGAAAGCCUGACGGAGCAACGCCGCGUGAGUGAUGGAGGUCUUCGGAUCGUAAAACUCUGUUAUUAGGGAAGAACAUAUGUGUAAGUAACUGUGCACAUCUUGACGGUACCUAAUCAGAAAGCCACGGCUAACUACGUGCCAGUAGCCGCGGUAAUACGUAGGUGGCAAGCGUUAUCCGGAAUUAUUGGGCGUAAAGCGCGCGUAGGCGGUUUUUUAAGUCUGAUGUGAAAGCCCACGGCUCAACCGUGGAGGGUCAUUGGAAACUGGAAAACUUGAGUGCAGAAGAGGAAAGUGGAAUUCCAUGUGUAGCGGUGAAAUGCGCAGAGAUAUGGAGGAACACCAGUGGCGAAGGCGACUUUCUGGUCUGUAACUGACGCUGAUGUGCGAAAGCGUGGGGAUCAAACAGGAUUAGAUACCCUGGUAGUCCACGCCGUAAACGAUGAGUGCUAAGUGUUAGGGGGUUUCCGCCCCUUAGUGCUGCAGCUAACGCAUUAAGCACUCCGCCUGGGGAGUACGACCGCAAGGUUGAAACUCAAAGGAAUUGACGGGGACCCGCACAAGCGGUGGAGCAUGUGGUUUAAUUCGAAGCAACGCGAAGAACCUUACCAAAUCUUGACAUCCUUUGACAACUCUAGAGAUAGAGCCUUCCCCUUCGGGGGACAAAGUGACAGGUGGUGCAUGGUUGUCGUCAGCUCGUGUCGUGAGAUGUUGGGUUAAGUCCCGCAACGAGCGCAACCCUUAAGCUUAGUUGCCAUCAUUAAGUUGGGCACUCUAAGUUGACUGCCGGUGACAAACCGGAGGAAGGUGGGGAUGACGUCAAAUCAUCAUGCCCCUUAUGAUUUGGGCUACACACGUGCUACAAUGGACAAUACAAAGGGCAGCGAAACCGCGAGGUCAAGCAAAUCCCAUAAAGUUGUUCUCAGUUCGGAUUGUAGUCUGCAACUCGACUACAUGAAGCUGGAAUCGCUAGUAAUCGUAGAUCAGCAUGCUACGGUGAAUACGUUCCCGGGUCU